rnacentral:rRNA from 1 species
CGGCAACAGCUCAAAUUUGAAAUCUGGCCUUCUGGUCCGAAUUGUAAUUUGUAGAGGAUGACUUUGGUUAGGUACCUUUCGAGUUCCUUGGAACAGGACGCCUUAGAGGGUGAGAGCCCCGUACGAUUGGAUGCCGAGCCUUUGUAAGUCUCCUUCGAC